AGUAAAAGUCGUAACAAGGUCUCCGUUGGUGAACCAGCGGAAGGAUCAUUACAGAGUUAUCCAACUCCCAAACCCAUGUGAACUUAUCUCUUUGUUGCCUCGGCGCAAGCUACCCGGGACCUCGCGCCCCGGGGGGCCCGCCGGCGGACAAACCAAACUCUGUUAUCUUCGUUGAUUAUCUGAGUGUCUUAUUUAAUAAGUCGAAACUUUCAACAACGGAUCUCUUGGUUCUGGCAUCGAUGAAGAACGCAGCGAAAUGCGAUAAGUAACGUGAAUUGCAGAAUUCAGUGAAUCAUUGAAUCUUUGAACGCACAUUGCGCCCAUUAGUAUUCUAGUGGGCAUGCCUGUUCGAGCGUCAUUUCAACCCCUAAGCACAGCUUAUUGUUGGGACUCUACGGCUUCGUAGUUCCCCAAAGACAUUGGCGGAGUGGCAGCAGUCCUCUGAGCGUAGUAAUUCUUUAUCUCGCUUUUGUUAGGCGCUGCCCCCCCGGCCGUAAAACCCCCAAUUUUUUCUGGUUGACCUCGGAUCAGGUAGGAAUACCCGCUGAACUUAAGCAUAUCAAUAAGCGGAGGAAAAGAAACCAACAGGGAUUGCCCCAGUAACG
rnacentral:rRNA from 1 species